ensembl:snRNA U6 U6 spliceosomal RNA
UUGCUUCAGCAGCAAAUAUGCUAAAAUUGGAAUGAUACAGAGAAGAUUAGCAUGGCCCCUGCACAAGGAUGACAUGCAAAUUCAUGAAGCGUUCCAUAUUUUU